rnacentral:tRNA from 1 species
CCAAAAAAUAAUUUAAUAAAAAUAUUAACUUUGGGAGUUAAAAAUAUAUUUAAUAAUAUUUUUUUG